rnacentral:rRNA from 1 species
UACGGGGGGGGCAAGCGUUGUUCGGAAUUACUGGGCGUAAAGGGCCCGUAGGCGGCCAACUACGUCCGACGUGAAAUCCCAAGGCUUAACCUUGGAACUGCGUCGGAUACUGGAUGGCUUGAAUUCGGGAGAGGGAUGCAGAAUUCCAGGUGUAGCGGUGAAAUGCGUAGAUAUCUGGAGGAAUACCGGUGGCGAAGGCGGCAUCCUGGACCGACAUUGACGCUGAACGGCGAAAGCUAGGGGAGCAAACGGG